rnacentral:rRNA from 1 species
AGAGUUUGAUCCUGGCUCAGGACGAACGCUGGCGGCGUGCCUAACACAUGCAAGUCGAACGAGGUCGCCUUCGGGCAAUGACCAAGUGGCGAACGGGUGCGUAACACGUGAGGAACCUGCCCCGAAGACUGGGACAACCACGGGAAACUGUGGCUAAUACCAGAUGCCCUCCGCUGAUCGCAUGAUCGGCAGAGGAAAUGCUCCGGCGCUUCGGGAGGGCCUCGCGGCCUAUCAGCUUGUUGGCGAGGUAACGGCUCACCAAGGCAUCGACGGGUAGCUGGUCUGAGAGGACGAUCAGCCACACUGGGACUGAGACACGGCCCAGACUCCUGCGGGAGGCAGCAGUGGGGAAUCUUGCGCAAUGGGCGAAAGCCUGACGCAGCAACGCCGCGUGGGGGAUGAAGGCUCUCGGGUUGUAAACCCCUUUCAGCAGGGACGAAAUUGACGGUACCUGAAGAAGAAGCCCCGGCCAACUACGUGCCAGCAGCCGCGGUGACACGUAGGGGGCGAGCGUUGUCCGGAAUUAUUGGGCGUAAAGAGCUCGUAGGCGGUUUAGUAAGUCAGAUGUGAAAGGUUGGGGCUCAACCCUAAGACUGCAUCCGAUACUGCUAUGACUA